rnacentral:rRNA from 1 species
GAUGAACGCUAGCGGCAGGCUUAACACAUGCAAGUCGAGGGGCAGCGGGUGUAGCAAUACAUGCCGGCGACCGGCGCACGGGUGCGUAACACGUAUGCAACCUACCUAUAACUGGAGGAUAGCCCCGAGAAAUCGGGAUUAAUACUUCAUAACAUUGCGAAAAGACAUCUUUUUGCACUUAAAGCUCCGGCGGUUAUAGAUGGGCAUGCGCGGUAUUAGUUUGUUGGUGAGGUAACGGCUCACCAAGACUUCGAUACCUAGGGGGUUCUGAGAGGAUUAACCCCCACACUGGUACUGAGACACGGACCAGACACCUACGGGCAG